GGGAUGGAGGCACAAAGGGGGAGGGGUAUGGGUUGGGGUUGGAGUUAAGAAGAUAUGGGGAGGACGGAAGUGAUUAGGAUUUGGGGUGAAAAGUAGGGGGGCAGGGGGGAGAAGUUGAAAAUGAGUCAGGCAUGCUCUCUCGCAGUAGGAGGUCUGGCAGAUUAUCAACAGACGGUCUUGACCAGAUUAACACCAUAUAAUUCCAGAUUAAAGUGGCCACCAUGGGGCACAGACAGAUACCUAAACAACAAUGGGCGAAACAGAGGACUAGCAUUAUUUGAUAAUUCUCCAAGUGAAUGUUAACUCGAGGAAUAAAACAAAGACAGCAGAAUUCUACAUUAAAAUAUAUUUUCCUCAAAGAUGAAUAUUCCUCAGGAGGUGUUCAUCUUUUACUAUGCAAAUAUUUGUAUUACCAAAAGUGGGAUAAAAGAUUACUCUGGCCUUUGUCUUCAUAUUUAUUGCUCUUAGAAAGAAAAUGAAUUAAUUUCCCCUCAUUGUGAGGAUGAGAGGGUGGCUGUAUCUAAUACUGCUAUGAUGCUUCCAGCCAUAGUUAAGGUAUUAAAUGCUUCCAGCCAUAGUUAAGGUAUUUAAUGCUUCCAGCCAUAGUUAAGGUAUUAAAUGCUUCCAGCCAUAGUUAAGGUAUUUAAUGCUUCCAGCCAUAGUUAAGGUAUUAAAUGCUUCCAGCCAUAGUUAAGGUAUUUAAUGCUUCCAGCCAUAGUUAAGGUAUUAAAUGCUUCCAGCCAUAGUUAAGGUAUUAAAUGCUUCCAGCCAUAGUUAAGGUAUUAAAUGCUUCCAGCCAUAGUUAAGGUAUUAAAUGCUUCCAGCCAUAGUUAAGGUAUUAAAUGCUUCCAGCCAUAGUUCAUCUAUUUAAUGCUUCCAGCCAUAGUUAAGGUAUUUAAUGCUUCCAGCCAUAGUUAAGGUAUUUAAUGCUUCCAGCCAUAGUUAAGGUAUUUAAUGCUUCCAGCCAUAGUUAAGGUAUUUAAUGCUUCCAGCCAUAGUUAAGGUAUUUAAUGCUUCCAGCCAUAGUUAAGGUAUUAAAUGCUUCCAGCCAUAGUUCAUCUAUUUAAUGCUUCCAGCCAUAGUUAAGGUAUUAAAUGCUUCCAGCCAUAGUUAAGGUAUUUAAUGCUUCCAGCCAUAGUUAAGGUAUUAAAUGCUUCCAGCCAUAGUUAAGGUAUUAAAUGCUUCCAGCCAUAGUUCAUCUAUUUAAUGCUUCCAGCCAUAGUUCAUCUAUUUAAUGCUUCCAGCCAUAGUUAAGGUAUUUAAUGCUUCCAGCCAUAGUUAAGGUAUUUAAUGCUUCCAGCCAUAGUUAAGGUAGUAAAUGCUUCCAGCCAUAGUUAAGGUAUUAAAUGCUUCCAGCCAUAGUUAAGGUAUUAAAUGCUUCCAGCCAUAGUUCAUCUAUUUAAUGCUUCCAGCCAUAGUUCAUCUAUUAAAUGCUUCCAGCCAUAGUUAAGGUAGUAAAUGCUUCCAGCCAUAGUUAAGGUAGUAAAUGCUUCCAGCCAUAGUUAAGGUAUUUGAUAUUUCCAACUAUACAGUUGAAGUCAGAAGUUUACAUACACUUAGGUUGGAGUCAUUUAAAACUUGUUUUUCAACCACUCCACAACUUUCUUGUUAACAAACUAUAGUUUUGGCAAGUCGGUUAGGACAUCUACUUUGUGCAUGGUAAGUAAUUUUUCCAACAAUUGUUUACAGACAGAUUAUUUCACUUAUAAUUCACUAUCACAAUUCUAGUGGGUCAGAAGUUUACAUACACUAAGUUGACUGUGCCUUUAAACAGAUUGGAAAUAUGCAGAAAAUGAUGUCAUGGCUUUAGUAGCUUCUGAUGGGCUAAUUGACAUCAUUUGAGUCAAUCGGAGGUGUACCUGUGGAUGUAUUUCAAGGCCUACCUUCAAACUCAGUGCCUCUUUGCUUGACAUCAUGGGAAAAUCAAAAUAAAUCAGCCAAGACCUCAGAAAAUAAAUUGUAGACCUCCACAAGUCUGGUUCAUCCUUGGGAGCAAUUUCCAAAUGCCUGAAGGUACCACGUUCAUCUGUACAAACAAUAGUACGCAAGUACAAACACCAUGGAACGACGCAGCCGUCAAACCGCUCAGGAAGGAGACGUCUUCUGUCUCAUAGAGAUGAACGUACUUUGGUGUGAAAAGUGCAAAUCAAUCCCAGAACAACAGCAAAGGACCUUGUGAAGUUGCUGGAGGAAACGGGUACAAAAGUAUCUACAUCCACAGUAAAAUGAGUCCUAUAUCGACAUAACCUGAAAGGCCGCUCAGCAAGGAAGACGCCACUGCUCCAAAAACGCCAUAAAAAAGCCAGACUAUGGUUUGCAACUGUACAUGGGGACAAAGAUCAUACUUUUUGGAGAAAUGUCCUCUGGUCUGAUGAAACAAAAUAGAACUGUUUGGCCAUAGUGACCAUUGUUAUGUUUGGAGGAAAAAGGGGGAGGCUUGCAAGCCGAAGAACACCAUCCCAUCUGUGAAGGGCAGGGGUGGCAGCAUCAUGUUGUGGGGGUGCUUUGCUGCAGGAUGGACUGGUGCACUUCCCAAAAGGAAGGAAAAUUAAGUCAAGGUAUUGGAGUGGCCAACACAAAGCCCUGACCUCAAUCCCAUAGAAAAUGUGUGGGCAGAACUGAAAAAGCGUGUGUGAGCAAGGAGGCCUACAAACCUGACUCAAUUACACCAGCUCUGCCAGGAGGAAUGGGACAAAAUUCACCCAACUUAUUGUGGGAAGCUUGUGGAAGGCUACCCAAAACGUUUGACCCGAGUUAAACAAUUUAAAUUAUUUGUCCCCUGUCCACCUGGCUGUGCUGCUGCUCCAGUUUCAACUGUUCUGCCUGCAGCUAUGGAACACUGACCUUUUCACCGGACGUGCUACCUGUCCCAGACCUGCUGUUUUCAACUCUCUAGAGACAGCAGGAGCUCUUAAUGAUCGGCUAUGAAAAGCCAACUGACAUUUACUCCUGAGGUGCUGACUUGCUGCACCCUCGACAACUACUGUGAUUAUUAUUAUUUGACCAUGAUGGUCAUUUAUGAACAUUUGAACAUCUUGGCCAUGUUCUAUUAUAAUCUCCACGGCACAGCCAGAAGAGGACUGGCCACCCCUCAUAGCCUGGUUCCUCUCUAGGUUUCUUCCUAGGUUUUGGCCUUUCUAGGGAGUUUUUCCUAGACACCGUGCUUCUACACCUGCAUUGCUUACUGUUUGGGGUUUUAGGCUGGGUUUCUGUACAGCACUUUGAGAUA